rnacentral:rRNA from 1 species
GGAGGGGGCUAGCGUUAUUCGGAAUUAUUGGGCGUAAAGGGCGUGUAGGCGGCUUCGUGUGUCCCAUGUGAAAGCCCUCGGCUCAACCGGGGAACUGCAUGGGAAACUGCGGAGCUUGAGUCCGGGAGAGGUGAGUGGAAUUCCCAGUGUAGCGGUGAAAUGCGUAGAUAUUGGGAGGAACACCGGUGGCGAAGGCGGCUCACUGGACCGGUACUGACGCUGAGACGCGAAAGCCAGGGGAGCAAACGGGAUUAGAUACCCCGGUAGUCCUGGCUGUAAACGAUGAGAACUUGGUGUGGCGGGUAUCGACCCCUGCCGUGCCGAAGCUAACGCAUUAAGUUCUCCGCCUGGGGAGUACGGCCGCAAGGCUG